GUGCACUCACGUCAAUGACCCAUAUAAUAAAACUGGAACACUAUAGAGAAGAUGAGCAUGGCCCCUGCUCAAGAAUGUCACACAAAUCCGUGAAGCGUUCUAUAUUGUG